AUGGUCAUGGGACUGAAAAUGCCGAGCUGGCCGGCCAUCUGGUGCAUCCUGCGCAGGGUCCUCUCCUUAUCGGUGUCUGCAAACUUGACCACCAGACUCGACGAGGCCCCCUACGAGCACAGGGGGUUCACAGGGCCACGAAAUGUGUAGACGGAGAAAUACACAACGGUAAUUGAGGGAUUACAAGUCAACUAAACCAGUGAAACGGCAUUAUGCGCUGAUGUGUGCAUUACUGCGACACAAAGACAGCGGUGGAGUCUACCAGCAGUGGGGGAAUCGGAUCCUGUUCCUGUCGCUGCAGAGUUCAGCUGAGACACGCGGCUGCUGCCCGCUUGGCCACACAAAUGAGCACCUCCGUAAUCAAUAAGGCCACGCUGCCUGCUCCCCACUGCUGCCGUUGUAGCUGGGGUGUCACGUCCGUGUUCCCGUGGUCACGCCUCGCGCAGCAGGACUUCUCACAACCACCAGCUGAGCUCGAGACAUCGACGGACGGACGGCAAUCGUGGGAGGAGCUGUGUGGCUUUAAAGUCACCGCUGGACAGGUUUUACUAAGAAUGGAUCCUGACCCUUGUCUGUAGCAACAGAGGUGAAAAAUACAAUCUAGCAACAGCCAGACGUUCUCCCCUCCAUCUAUCCGAUUUCCACUGAGGUGUCACUGUUACAACUUAAAUGGGCAGUGGGCUUUUUUUCACAGGCCCCCUGCGGUGUGUUAAUGUUUUGGGACAAAAGUCUCAUCUCGGUCCUGGCCCGAGGAGAUCUAAUGGCGGCUUUACAAGGCUAAUUAACAAGCCAUGAGCGAGGUAAUGAACUUUCCAAAUGUGCUGGCAAACGCAAAAAUAAAUUACACCCCAGUGAAGGCAUUAAAGGAAGUGUGAGUGUACUCCUGAGCCCUCCUUUGGGAGCGCCACAGCGAGAAAAUGAA